AGAGUUUGAUCCUGGCUCAGAACGAACGCUGGCGGCGUGGAUAAGACAUGCAAGUCGAACGAGAGAAUUGCUAGCUUGCUAAUAAUUCUCUAGUGGCGCACGGGUGAGUAACACGUGAGUAACCUGCCCCCGAGAGCGGGAUAGCCCUGGGAAACUGGGAUUAAUACCGCAUAGUAUCGAAAGAUUAAAGCAGCAAUGCGCUUGGGGAUGGGCUCGCGGCCUAUUAGUUAGUUGGUGAGGUAACGGCUCACCAAGGCGAUGACGGGUAGCCGGUCUGAGAGGAUGUCCGGCCACACUGGAACUGAGACACGGUCCAGACACCUACGGGUGGCAGCAGUCGAGAAUCAUUCACAAUGGGGGAAACCCUGAUGGUGCGACGCCGCGUGGGGGAAUGAAGGUCUUCGGAUUGUAAACCCCUGUCAUGUGGGAGCAAAUUAAAAAGAUAGUACCACAAGAGGAAGAGACGGCUAACUCUGUGCCAGCAGCCGCGGUAAUACAGAGGUCUCAAGCGUUGUUCGGAAUCACUGGGCGUAAAGCGUGCGUAGGCUGUUUCGUAAGUCGUGUGUGAAAGGCGCGGGCUCAACCCGCGGACGGCACAUGAUACUGCGAGACUAGAGUAAUGGAGGGGGAACCGGAAUUCUCGGUGUAGCAGUGAAAUGCGUAGAUAUCGAGAGGAACACUCGUGGCGAAGGCGGGUUCCUGGACAUUAACUGACGCUGAGGCACGAAGGCCAGGGGAGCGAAAGGGAUUAGAUACCCCUGUAGUCCUGGCAGUAAACGGUGCACGCUUGGUGUGCGGGGAAUCAACCCCCUGCGUGCCGGAGCUAACGCGUUAAGCGUGCCGCCUGGGGAGUACGGUCGCAAGAUUAAAACUCAAAGAAAUUGACGGGGACCCGCACAAGCGGUGGAGUAUGUGGCUUAAUUCGAUGCAACGCGAAGAACCUUACCUGGGCUUGACAUGUAAUGAACAACAUGUGAAAGCAUGCGACUCUUCGGAGGCGUUACACAGGUGCUGCAUGGCCGUCGUCAGCUCGUGUCGUGAGAUGUUUGGUUAAGUCCAGCAACGAGCGCAACCCCUGUUGCCAGUUACCAGCACGUGAAGGUGGGGACUCUGGCGAGACUGCCCAGAUCAACUGGGAGGAAGGUGGGGACGACGUCAGGUCAGUAUGGCCCUUAUGCCCAGGGCUGCACAUGUACUACAAUGCCCAGUACAGAGGGGGCCGAAGCCGCGAGGCGGAGGAAAUCCUAAAAACUGGGCCCAGUUCGGACUGUAGGCUGCAACCCGCCUACACGAAGCCGGAAUCGCUAGUAAUGGCGCAUCAGCUACGGCGCCGUGAAUACGUUCCCGGGUCUUGCACUCACCGCCCGUCA
rnacentral:rRNA from 1 species